rnacentral:rRNA from 1 species
UACGAAGGGGGCUAGCGUUGCUCGGAAUCACUGGGCGUAAAGCGCACGUAGGCGGACUCUUAAGUCGGUGGUGAAAUCCUGGAGCUCAACUCCAGAACUGCCUUCGAUACUGAGAGUCUCGAGUCCGGAAGAGGUGAGUGGAACUGCGAGUGUAGAGGUGAAAUUCGUAGAUAUUCGCAAGAACACCAGUGGCGAAGGCGGCUCACUGGUCCGGUACUGACGCUGAGGUGCGAAAGCGUGGGGAGCAAACAGG